rnacentral:misc_RNA from 1 species
GAUGAAGAACGCAUCGAAAUGCGAUAAGUAGUGUGAAUUGCAGAAUUCAGUGAAUCAUCGAAUCUUUGAACGCACAUUGCGCCCCAUGGUAUUCCGUGGGGCAUGCCUGUUCGAGCGCCAUUUACCCCCUCAAGCUCCGCUUGGUGUUGGGCGUCUGUCCCGCUUCGCGCGCGGACUCGCCCCAAAGGUAUUGGCAGCGGUCGUGCCAGCUUCUCGCGCAGCACAUUGCGCUUCUCGAGGCACCGGUGGGCCCGCGUCCAUCAAGCUCACCCCCCCAGUUUGACCUCGGAUCAGGUAGGGAUACCCGCUGAACUUAAGCAUAUCAAUAAGCGGAGGA